rnacentral:rRNA from 1 species
UUAAGCGACUAAGCGUACACGGUGGAUGCCCCGGCAGUCAGAGGCGAUGAAGGACGUGCUAAUCUGCGAUAAGCGUCGGUAAGGUGAUAUGAACCGUUAUAACCGGCGAUUUCCGAAUGGGGAAACCCAGUGUGAUUCGUCACACUAUCAUUAACUGAAUCCAUAGGUUAAUGAGGCGAACCGGGGGAACUGAAACAUCUAAGUACCCCGAGGAAAAGAAAUCAACCGAGAUUCCCCCAGUAGCGGCGAGCGAACGGGGAGCAGCCCAGAGCCUGAAUCAGUGUGUGUGUUAGUGGAAGCGUCUGGAAAGGCGCGCGAUACAGGGUGACAGCCCCGUACACAAAAAUGCACAUACUGUGAGCUCGAUGAGUAGGGCGGGACACGUGGUAUCCUGUCUGAAUAUGGGGGGGACCAUCCUCCAAGGCUAAAUACUCCUGACUGACCGAUAGUGAACCAGUACCGUGAGGGAAAGGCGAAAAGAACCCCGGCGAGGGGAGUGAAAAAGAACCUGAAACCGUGUACGUACAAGCAGUGGGAGCACGCUUAGGCGUGUGACUGCGUACCUUUUGUAUAAUGGGUCAGCGACUUAUAUUCUGUAGCAAGGUUAACCGAAUAGGGGAGCCGAAGGGAAACCGAGUCUUAACUGGGCGUUAAGUUGCAGGGUAUAGACCCGAAACCCGGUGAUCUAGCCAUGGGCAGGUUGAAGGUUGGGUAACACUAACUGGAGGACCGAACCGACUAAUGUUGAAAAAUUAGCGGAUGACUUGUGGCUGGGGGUGAAAGGCCAAUCAAACCGGGAGAUAGCUGGUUCUCCCCGAAAGCUAUUUAGGUAGCGCCUCGUGAAUUCAUCUCCGGGGGUAGAGCACUGUUUCGGCAAGGGGGUCAUCCCGACUUACCAACCCGAUGCAAACUGCGAAUACCGGAGAAUGUUAUCACGGGAGACACACGGCGGGUGCUAACGUCCGUCGUGAAGAGGGAAACAACCCAGACCGCCAGCUAAGGUCCCAAAGUCAUGGUUAAGUGGGAAACGAUGUGGGAAGGCCCAGACAGCCAGGAUGUUGGCUUAGAAGCAGCCAUCAUUUAAAGAAAGCGUAAUAGCUCACUGGUCGAGUCGGCCUGCGCGGAAGAUGUAACGGGGCUAAACCAUGCACCGAAGCUGCGGCAGCGACGCUUAUGCGUUGUUGGGUAGGGGAGCGUUCUGUAAGCCUGCGAAGGUGUGCUGUGAGGCAUGCUGGAGGUAUCAGAAGUGCGAAUGCUGACAUAAGUAACGAUAAAGCGGGUGAAAAGCCCGCUCGCCGGAAGACCAAGGGUUCCUGUCCAACGUUAAUCGGGGCAGGGUGAGUCGACCCCUAAGGCGAGGCCGAAAGGCGUAGUCGAUGGGAAACAGGUUAAUAUUCCUGUACUUGGUGUUACUGCGAAGGGGGGACGGAGAAGGCUAUGUUGGCCGGGCGACGGUUGUCCCGGUUUAAGCGUGUAGGCUGGUUUUCCAGGCAAAUCCGGAAAAUCAAGGCUGAGGCGUGAUGACGAGGCACUACGGUGCUGAAGCAAC